AAUUUUUAUUUAAUAAAAAAAUGUAAAUCGUUGUUAUAAAAAGUAGCGAGGACAUUUCUUCGUCUCGUGGAUAUAUCUCUUCUCUUAAUACGUGCAUGAUGUAUCGAUGUAUCCAGAGACGGUGGAUCUUUGCCUUGCAACCCGGAAGUUAUUAGAAUGAUUUUGGGUGGCGCGAAAACAGCUGAAAGCGAAAAUUGUUGUUGUUUUUCUUAAGGGCUUGCGGGACCGCCUAAAAGUUUUAGGAAGCUAGCUAGUUGUGGUUGCUGCUUCCUUUUCAGUCGCCAUGUGUGAAAAGAUAAAGAAGGUGAACAGCUGGCUCGGCGCAGUGUUUGGAGAUCAGCCGGUGCCACACUUUGAGGUCAACACAAGGACUGUCGACAUCCUGUACCAACUGGCACAGUCCAGUGAAGCCCGGUGCAGCGACACAGCCCUCCUCACAGAAGACCUCAAACAGAAAGCAUCAGAGUAUCAGGCUGAGGGUGCUCAUCUCCGUGAUGUUCUUUUACAAGGUGUAGGUCUGUCCUGUGCAAGCUUGUCAAAGCCUGCUGCUGACUACUUGUCUGCUUUAGUGGACACUGCCAUGGUACUUGGAGUCAGAGACACAUCACUGUGCAGCUUUAUGCCAGCAAUGAACAACCUCACCAACGAACUGCUGGAAAAAGAGAAGUCAAACCGGAGACUUGAGAGGGAACUCAGGGCCCUCAGAGAGAGACUUGGUGUUACUCUGGUACUGCGGAGCAACUUACAAGAAGAUAUCAACAAAACUAUCAAAUCACAGUCAGUGGAGAGCGCUAAAGCUGAGGAGAGACUGCUCAACAUGGAUUUUGUGAUGGCAAAGACUAAAGACCUCAGCAGCAGACGGGAGAGGGCAGAGGUUGGCUGUUUUAUUCUUAUCUAUCAAUCCUGCAGGCUCAGCUUGCAUCCAGGAACAUGGACAAGUCUAUCACCCACCAGGCUAUUGUGCAGCUUUCUGAGGAAGCCACCGCGCUGAAACAAGAAAUAAUCCCUUUGAAAAAGAAACUGGAGCCUUACAUGGACUUAAGCCCGAGCCCAUCUCUUGCUCAAGUGAAAAUAGAAGAAGCAAAAAGAGAAUUGGCUGCAAUUGAUGCCCAACUGGAGAUGAAUAUGGAUUUCAAGUAAAGAUGUUUGUAAUGUUAAAAUGUUAUCUGUUUUGAACUGUAAAUGAUCUGUGUUUGAAGAAUAAUAAAGUCAUUGUUUCUAUGUA